rnacentral:rRNA from 1 species
UACGUAGGUGACAAGCGUUGUCCGGAUUUACUGGGCGUAAAGAGCGCGCAGGCGGUCGAUCAAGUCGAGUGUGAAAGCCCCCGGCUCAACUGGGGAGGGUCAUUCGAUACUGAUCGACUCGAAGGCAGGAGAGGGUAGUGGAAUUCCCGGUGUAGUGGUGAAAUGCGUAGAUAUCGGGAGGAACACCAGUGGCGAAGGCGGCGUCCUGGCUCGCAUCUGACGCUCAGACACGACAGCAUGGGGAGCGAACGGG